GAACAUAGUUUAAUGGUAAAACAUCAGCUUCCCAAGCUGAGGUUGGGGGUUCGAUUCCCCUUGUUC
rnacentral:tRNA from 1 species